UACGGAGGGUGCGAGCGUUACUCGGAAUUACUGGGCGUAAAGGGCGCGUAGGCGGCCGCGCAAGUCUGGUGUGAAAGCCCAGGGCUUAACCCUGGAAGGGCACUGGAAACUGUGCGGCUUGAGUGCCGGAGAGGAGGGGGGAAUUCCCGGUGUAGCGGUGAAAUGCGUAGAUAUCGGGAAGAAUACCGGUGGCGAAGGCGCCCCUCUGGACGGUAACUGACGCUGAGGCGCGAAAGCGUGGGGAGCAAACAGG
rnacentral:rRNA from 1 species